rnacentral:rRNA from 1 species
GAUGAACGCUAGCGGGAGGCCUAACACAUGCAAGCCGAGCGGUAGAGAUUCUUCGGAAUCUUGAGAGCGGCGUACGGGUGCGGAACACGUGUGCAACCUGCCUUUAUCAGGGGGAUAGCCUUUCAAAAGGAAGAUUAAUACCCCAUAAUAUAUUGAAUGGCAUCAUUUGAUAUUGAAAACUCCGGUGGAUAGAGAUGGGCACGAGCAAGAUUAGAUAGUUGGUGAGGUAACGGCUCCACAAGUCUACGCUCUUUAGGGGGCCUGAGAGGGUGAUCCCCCACACCGGUACUGAGACACGGACCAGACUCCUACGGGAGGCAGCAGUGAGGAAUAUUGGACAAUGGGUGCGAGCCUGAUCCAGCCAUCCCGCGUGAAGGACGACGGCCCUAUGGGUUGUAAACUUCUUUUGUAUAGGGAUAAACCUAGAUACGUGUAUCUAGCUGAAGGUACUAUACGAAUAAGCACCGGCUAACUCCGUGCCAGCCGCCGCUGUAA